rnacentral:rRNA from 1 species
CUCUAAGGUGACUGACCGGCUAAAAGUCGGAGGAAGGUGGGGAUGACGUCAAAUCAUCAUGCCCCUUAUGACCUGGGCUACACACGUGCUACAAUGGGCGGUACAAAGGGUCGCGAACCCGCGAGGGGGAGCCAAUCCCAAAAAGCCGCUCUCAGUUCGGAUUGCAGGCUGUAACUCGCCUGCAUGAAGCCGGAAUCGCUAGUAAUCGCGGAUCUAGCAUGCCGCGGUGAAUACGUUCCCGGGCCUC